UACGUAUGGGGCGAGCGUUAUUCGGAUUCAUUGGGCGUAAAGGGUAUGCAGGGGGCUUGUUAAGUCGGCAGUGAAAUUUCCAGGCUCAACCUGGAACUUGCUCUCGAUACUGGCAAGCUAGAGUUUGGCAGAGGAGAAUGGAAUUCCAGGUGUAGGGGUGAAAUCUGUAGAUAUCUGGAAGAACACCAGUGGUGAAGACGAUUCUCUGGGCCAAAACUGACCCUCAGAUACGAAAGCCAGGGGAGCAAACGGG
rnacentral:rRNA from 1 species